rnacentral:lncRNA from 1 species
AAACUAAAGACAAGCACUCCAUAUCUGAAAUUACAAGAAAUGACCUAAAACUAAAUAUCUAUUUUCCUAGGCGGCACACACUUGACCACCAUAGCAGCUUGCUGGACCGUUGUAUCUGUGGAGCACAAAACUGCGGUCAGCCUGAUUAGAAAUUUUAAGGAGAGAGUGCUAGUUUAAGAGUUAUGAACAAAUAGAAAUGGUGCAUAAAUUCCUAUUAUUCAACAAACAUAAGUUAUUUCCAAGUGAAACACGGGGCAAUGUUAUCCACUUCAAAACAGAACAGAACACACAGGUACACACAUCGUGAAGUUUUUUCCACAAAUGAGUUACUGAUUGAGUUCAAGAAAUGACCAAGGGCCUAAUUGGUUCACAGGACCUAAAAACUCAUAAAUAGGAAAAUCACUGGGUUGCAAUGUCAUGCCCUCUCUUGAUACAAUAUGAUCGAUAGGAUGUUUGAGUGCAUCAUAGAAAAUCAUAGGAGUUUUUCAAGGCCGCAUAUUACAAUCAUAUGGAAUAAUUUGAAGCAGAGAGGCCCCAAAAGGGGAAUCAUGCUGUGUGGGAAAAGAAAAUACCAUUCACCGCAAUGAAAAAUAUAGCAUGCCAGAAUCACUAUUCUAGAGCACAUAUCCAUACCAAAACAUUUAUAGUGUUUCCAACUCUUCAAAGCAUGUGAGAACACUAUGAGAACAAUCAAAUUGAGUUAUCUAAGCAAUUUGACAAUCAAAUGGAGUUAACACAGCCCCAGCGUUAGGGAUUUAGUGACGGCAGCAGUCUGCCAGCCGGCUUCCUCAAUAGAAGGGACAGACCCAGUGCUAGAAGCAGAACAAGAACGUUGAUACACAAGAUAAGCACAAGCCCUUGAGAGCAGUCUGCUUGGCAGAACAAUUAAUUAACCUCUAGAAGCAUAAGAAGCACGUUGAUAGACAAGUUAUUAUGAAGAACCAACCUUGAGAGCGGUCUGCUUGCGCAAGAUAUCAUUGGACUUGAACAUGACUGCGGCAAUCCAGAUCAUGACGAAGAAACCUACACAAUAUAAACUCAAUUGGAAUGAGGAACUCGCCAUCAUCUUCUGACCAAGAGGCAUCAAGUACCUAGACAAAAAAGUAAGAGCACAAUAAGAUACAAUGUAUGCCGGUGGACAUGUUUAACAGCAAGAAAACUACCCUAUGAAUAGCAUAGUUAAAUGUGAUUCCUCCUAGUAGUAUGUGUUCUAUUAUUCAUAGUGAUGAGAGCCCGAGACUAUUCCAAUAAUGUCCAGAAAGAAAAGGUCUCCAAAAUGUAGCAUUAUUUCAGUAGCAAUAUUUUAUUUUCGGAAAUAGGUUUAUUCGAGGAGCGUUGACCUUCGUCACAUACUGUAAUACAUGCACUUCAUUUGUUUUUAAGAAACUUGAGAUUAGUGCUGGUGCUAAAACAAAGCCCACCAAAAUCCUUUUUCAGCUAAAAUACCAAUUCACGUACUAGCUAGCAUCACUAGUUAAGCAAACAGAUUUAUCACUUGUAGCAGCGCUGACCAAAUUGCCACGGCAGCAGAACCCCAGCCAUAUGAGUACCCUGUCUUAAAUCUAGACUAUACCAAUUGUGCAACUGACAUUGAGAUUUCAGAGGGCGGGCGCAGCAGAACGACAAGUGCUAUACCUUCACAUUGGGGUCCCUGAGGUUGGCGUGCAGCCACUUAGCGGACACAACAGGCUCGGUCUGCGGCACCGCGUGGACGACGCCCGACGC